AAUAUCCAUAUUUCAGAGUAAAUUGUUCAACCAGAGAAGAAAUGAGAGUGCCUCAUGCUCGAGAAUUCGUUGUCUCCGGACAAGUGCUGCACCAAGCGGCUAACUCUUUCAAAACUUGGGGAUCUACCUUUUUUGUGAAACUACAUCAGGCUAAACGACCGAUGGAUCGCGCUGGUUGAUAAUUAAAAGAAAAAGCAUCCAAAGUCCUCCAUUUUCUGAGCUUCUCUGGCUUUCCUAAAAUAGAACAAAAGACAACCUUCAAUUUGGCAUCAAUUUGUUCAUACUACGUUCUUAAAAUAAAAAAUUAUCACCCUCA